rnacentral:rRNA from 1 species
CCUUGUAGCGGGGGAUAACUAUUGGAAACGAUAGCUAAUACCGCAUAGCAAUGGAUGACACAUGUCAUUUAUUUGAAAGGGGCAAUUGCUCCACUACAAGAUGGACCUGCGUUGUAUUAGCUAGUAGGUGAGGUAAUGGCUCACCUAGGCGACGAUACAUAGCCGACCUGAGAGGGUGAUCGGCCACACUGGGACUGAGACACGGCCCAG